GAUGCUAAGAGUGAGCAGCUAGCAGCCAGCAGCGAACGGAGCAGUGUUGUCAGCUGUCACCACCCACGGUCCUUUGCUCGGUCCUGCUCCUCGUAGCCGUCGUUUUUUUUCACCGAGUGUGGCCGUCUAGUCGUUGAAAAUGGCAAGCGGAGGACAACAAGCAGAAUUACCAUGGUGGCAGAAAUACCUAGCCCGCGGAGUUGGCUGCGGGGGAGGCGUUAUUGCUCUGGGCCUGGGGCUGUUCAACUGCAUCACCUUAUCUGCCUUCUGUGUUGUAGCUGGAAUAUGGCAAAUGGUGGCAGCUUUCAUCGUGAUAUCUGCUGAGGCUCCUUGUUGUUGCAUGUUUGUGGAAUUCGUACAGCGUUACUCAAUGUGGGUGGAUACUCGUCCAUACUGGCAGAAAUCUGUCUUCUAUGUUGUCCUGGCCAUCCCUCCUUUCAUUAUGUGCAUCACUGUGUCCAUCAUCCUUGGAUCUGGGCUAAUCUUCCUCUGUGGAGUGUUGUACGGCCUCAUGGCUCUCGGCAAAAAGGGGAGCCGCGAGGACAUGAUGGCUGCCGCUCACCACCACUCGGGGAUGACCACCUCCCAGAGUGCCAUCCUGGUUGAUGAUCCGGAGGCCUGGCGAUCCACGUGAACCGGUCGGGGCUGUAGUAACACCCAUCAUCCACCACCACCACUAUUUUGAUAACUUCACAUAGGCUCCCGGGAGGACAUGAUCGCUGCAGCCCAGAACUCUGGCAGGCCCGGCGGAAUGAAGGACAACCUGGUGGAUGGCGGCUCAAGUCCCCCAGCCUAAAUCUCCUCUCUGCCACUUGCUGCCACCCAAACUGGAAGAGCUGAUACACCAGUGAUCAUCAUAAUGCAGGAUGAAACUUUUCUCUUAUCAUACUGUUUAGAUGUAACAUUCAAUUGAAGUUCUGAUGACAACACAUGUUGGGAUCUGGCCUCUUCUAGGUGUUGUAAGAAUUGCUUGAGUGUCUAGUAGUUUAAAUGAAUGGCUGAAGAUUGAAUAACUAUUUUUUAUGAGCCAGUAACUGAAAGGAUAAAUUUUUAUUUCAAAGUGUCACAUGUUUAUUUUUAUGGGCCAAUGACUGACUGACUGUUCAUUUGAAAUAUGACCUAUUUUAUGAAAUAUGUUAUCCUAUUGUCUGGUAAUUCCCCCUCCCACCACAGAAUUGCUGCAAGAAUUGAAAAGUUUUGCAGUUCUUUUCUUUCAAUAUACUCGUUACUUUUUGUUCAUGUUUUGUCAUAUUUUUUUCUAUAUCCUUUUGCCCUGUCUGGUAUAAUCACUGAUAACCUCCCCCAUCUCUGACCUCUUAACUUAUAUACCAUGUUAGGGAUGUAUUGAUAAUAAAACUUUUUUUCAAAACAUGCAUGAGUAGCUGGCUGCGGCAAGGGCACAAGCAGCAACCACUGUGAAAUGGAGUUCAUAAUGUAUUCUGUUCUCUAAUUUCCCCUACAUCUUAGAAAUAACACUGAUGUGAACGUAUCUCUGUUGUGUGUGCUGCUAACGUCCAUUAAUCAUAGCAGUGUCUACCUAUUACCGUCACUAUCUCUUUUAGUAAAUAUCAGAUGUUUGAAGAGGCUGCUGUUGAUAAUGACGAUUAAUUUUAAUGCAAAACAUUAGUGUACACUAUUGUUACUAAAGAAAAUUAGCGUCACACUCAUGAAAGUUUCCAUAAAUGACAAUAAAAAACUUCAUUGUGGUGGGGCACGUAAGUUUUCUUUACCAACAUGUGCCAUGUUAGCCAGCCCAAACUGUUUCCUGCUUAAUAAUUACUCUGUAUUAUUCCUCAUUUUAUAACUCUUUAAUUAUUCAACAUAACAAAAUCAGAUGUAUCAUAUAUCACAUAAAAGCCAACAAAAUGUAGUCUGUAACAAGAUAUAACACACAAUUGCAUGUAUUCUGUCUAGGACGCACUAGACAGGUAAAGUAAAGCGAUGGUGAACGACCGAUGCACGCACUGUGAUUGCCUUUAAAUGCAAUUUACUCGUUUGCUUACUUUUGGGGUUUGUCGCAACCAGCUACUCAUAUAUUCUAUUGAACUGGUAUCAAUAAUGCAAUACUCUCAAAAUGAGGAUGUUAAUACUAAUACCUAAACUGAUGCUGUUGCAAAAUUUCUCACUAGUAGAAAAUUCUGAAGUAUAGCUAAUUCAAUAAAGUUCACUUAGUUUCAGGCAUGACCAAGCUGUCAAGGAAAGCCUCACAUCAUCACAAGCAUCAGUACAUCACAAAAAAAAACAUUAUUCUAACACAAAUGCAACAUUAAGAAAUAUGCCUGUCUGUGUUAUAUUAAAAAAGAGGAAGCAGCAUAACCACAUUGAUAAGUUGUUUAUAGCCAACAAACUCAGCAGUCUACAUCAUACAGCCCUUAGAUCCUCUCCUUGGGCUUCACACUAUUGGGACAUGGAUUAGGCACUACCAAGACACACUAUAGUUUUGCCGGGACUCAUUCAGCGAGAUUUCUGGUAUACUGUGUUAACAGGAUGACUGUAUAUU